CCUACGGGUGGCAGCAGUGGGGAAUAUUGGACAAUGGGGGAAACCCUGAUCCAGCAAUGCCGCGUGGGUGAUGAAGGCCUUCGGGUUGUAAAGCCCUUUUGGCGGGGACGAUGAUGACGGUACCCGCAGAAGAAGCCCCGGCUAACUUCGUGCCAGCAGCCGCGGUAAUACGAAGGGGGCUAGCGUUGUUCGGAAUUACUGGGCGUAAAGGGCGCGUAGGCGGCUCUGUUAGUCGUGUGUGAAAGGCCUGGGCUCAACCCGGGAACUGCGCACGAUACGGCAGGGCUAGAGUGUGGGAGAGGUUGGUGGAAUUCCCAGUGUAGAGGUGAAAUUCGUAGAUAUUGGGAAGAACACCGGUGGCGAAGGCGGCCAACUGGACCACAACUGACGCUGAGGCGCGAAAGCGUGGGGAGCAAACAGGAUUAGAUACCCUAGUAGUC
rnacentral:rRNA from 1 species